GAUGAACGCUGACAGAAUGCUUAACACAUGCAAGUCUUUGGCGAAUCUGUGCUUGCACAGGCUAGCCAAGGCGGACGGGUGAGUAACGCGUAAAGAACUUGCCCUGCAGACAGGGAUAACAGACGGAAACGACUGAUAACACCUGAUACAGUUGCCGGCACGCAUGUGCCUGGCAAUGAAAAGAGAUGCUGCAGGAGAGCUUUGCGUCCUAUUAGCUUGUUGGUGAGGUGACGGCUCACCAAGGCGAUGAUAGGUAGCCGGCCUGAGAGGGUGAACGGCCACAAGGGGACUGAGAUACGGCCCUUACUCCUACGGGAGGCAGCAGUGGGGAAUAUUGGACAAUGGGGGCAACCCUGAUCCAGCAAUUCUGUGUGUACGAAGAAGGUUUUCGGAUUGUAAAGUGCUUUCAGCAGGGAAGAAGAAAGUGACGGUACCUGCAGAAGAAGCGACGGCUAAAUACGUG
rnacentral:rRNA from 1 species